rnacentral:rRNA from 1 species
CGGCCACACUGGGACUGAGACACGGCCCAGACUCCUACGGGAGGCAGCAGUGGGGAAUAUUGCACAAUGGGCGCAAGCCUGAUGCAGCGACGCCGCGUGAGGGAUGACGGCCUUCGGGUUGUAAACCUCUUUCAGUAGGGAAGAAGCCGUAAGGUGACGGUACCUGCAGAAGAAGCGCCGGCUAACUACGUGCCAGCAGCCGCGGUAAUACGUAGGGCGCAAGCGUUAUCCGGAAUUAUUGGGCGUAAAGAGCUCGUAGGCGGUUUGUCGCGUCUGCCGUGAAAGUCCGGGGCUCAACUCCGGAUCUGCGGUGGGUACGGCAGACUAGAGUGAUGUAGGGGAGACUGGAAUUCCUGGUGUAGCGGUGAAAUGCGCAGAUAUCAGGAGGAACACCGAUGGCGAAGGCAGGUCUCUGGGCAUUAACUGACGCUGAGGAGCGAAAGCAUGGGGAGCGAACAGGAUUAGAUACCCUGGUAGUCCAUGCCGUAAACGUUGGGCACUAGGUGUGGGGGACAUUCCACGUUUUCCGCGCCGUAGCUAACGCAUUAAGUGCCCCGCCUGGGGAGUACGGCCGCAAGGCUAAAACUCAAAGGAAUUGACGGGGGCCCGCACAAGCGGCGGAGCAUGCGGAUUAAUUUGAUGCAACGCGAAGAACCUUACCAAGGCUUGACAUGAACCGGACCGCUGCAGAAAUGUGGUUUCCCCUUUGGGGCUGGUUUACAGGUGGUGCAUGGUUGUCGUCAGCUCGUGUCGUGAGAUGUUGGGUUAAGUCCCGCAACGAGCGCAACCCUCGUUUUAUGUUGCCAGCACGUGAUGGUGGGGACUCAUAGGAGACUGCCGGGGUCAACUCGGAGGAAGGUGGGGACGACGUCAAAUCAUCAUGCCCCUUAAUUUU